rnacentral:misc_RNA from 1 species
AAAAGUAAUACUUGCCAAGACCCAAAAUUCCUUGGGAAUUGUAUGCAUAAAAUUAUCAGUGGAUGUAAUUUCAAAUACAAGUUCCCAGUAAUCCAUUGUUGCUAAACAAAGUAAAACUACUUUUUUCCCGUUCAAAGAAACACUACAUUCUCUAUUUUCUAACUUUAAAAGUUAGAGCAUCAAAUACAAAAUUUGCACUUGAUUCUUCAUAAUUCCAGCCGUCUUUGCAGCUACUACUUGUGGUACAGAUAUACCAAGGAGAAGAGGAAGAAACCACCCAUCAUAGAGAAGGAUGCUCCAUAAUAAGGAAAAGCAGCUGUUAUAAAUCUCUCAUAUUCAUUAUGUCUGAAGGGUCGAACAGGAAUCUGUUUUGCUAGGCUCAAGCUUGUGACUCCUAAUUUCUCGUACUCAACCUUAAACUGGAAUACUCCAUAAACAUCUGGAACCUUGAAUGAUGUAUAAUAGACACCCUUCUGAUCGGUUGACAUGGUUUUCAGAACAUAGGGGCUCAUCAUGUAAAACUGAACUUGAACAUCAUCUGCAACAUAAGGUUCCCAACUUGUUCCAGACCAUUCAUAAAUCUCAAGAGAAUAUUCCAGAUCAUCAUUGAUUCUGUAUAUAGAAGGUUCAUCUGCCUCCCCAACUUUGUGAUGUCUUACAUUCACAGCCUUGAGAUGGCCUCUUUCAUGGAAGACCCACUUGCUAAUUUCAGUCACAAACUGCUCAUUACCAGAUUUCUCAUGGUUGAUUGUGCUUCCAGCCUUUUGCACCCCAGAUCUGAAGAAUCGAUUGCUAAACAUGCUUAAGGAGCCAGAUAUAAGAACUCGAGCAUUAUUUCUUGCCUGCACAACUGAAACAAGACUGAUUGCAGAUCCGGUUAGUGUUGGUGGAGUUGAUAAUUUGGAUUUAGGAUUGGCUGAAUACGCCGAAGGCGAAGCUGAGAGAACUUUCAGCACCAAGCUAUUAGCCGGAUUUACAGAGUGACCAAUCCCCUUGAAGAGUACAGGAGCCUUGAUCUUUUCUUUGCCCAAGAUUACAUCAGAUUGAAUGAAAUCAUCACCAGCAAUUAAGGUAUGGUCUCCUUCUGUAUCCGAAACUGCAAAGCUUGUAUGAUCAAUGACCAUAGCUGACUGAUCCUCAUCAAAAUCAACCCCACACUCCGUAGCAAUUUCUCUAAUUAGAUCAGAUGCAGAUGCAUCAGCCGCAAGGAUCAAAUCAUGGCCAGAAUCAACGAAGUCCAGAAUAGCUGCCGCAUUAAGAGAUCCACCUAAACUAUCAAUGGAAGGUGAGAAGAGAAUUAAAGCGUCAUAUAAAUACUGUCCGUAUCUCUGUAACGCGAUCUUUGGAUCAUCGGCGAGUUUGAAAUCAAGAUCGAAACCACGGGUUUGUAGAGACUGGAAGUAGAGAGAAUGUGAAGAUUUGAUGGAUAAAUCAUCGAGCAAAACCAAAAUUUUCCGAUCUGUGGGGUUUUCAGGGGAAAAUGCAUUGCCAAGAACCGCAAGAAGAAGGAAACUGAGGAUCGCUAGCGCUCGAGACAUGUUGAAAAUGCUCGCAAGCCCACUAGGGUUUAGCGAGAUUUGAAGCUUAAAGAACCCUUCACUCCACUUCAGAGUUGACGAGAGUUUUUCAGUCUUCGAACCAAGCCGAUAACAAG